AUUGAACGCUGGCGGCAUGCCUUACACAUGCAAGUCGAACGGUAACAGGUCUUCGGAUGCUGACGAGUGGCGAACGGGUGAGUAAUACAUCGGAACGUGCCCGAUCGUGGGGGAUAACGCAGCGAAAGCUGUGCUAAUACCGCAUACGAUCUACGGAUGAAAGCGGGGGAUCGCAAGACCUCGCGCGGACGGAGCGGCCGAUGGCAGAUUAGGUAGUUGGUGGGAUAAAAGCUUACCAAGCCGACGAUCUGUAGCUGGUCUGAGAGGACGACCAGCCACACUGGGACUGAGACACGGCCCAGACUCCUACGGGAGGCAGCAGUGGGGAAUUUUGGACAAUGGGGGAAACCCUGAUCCAGCCAUGCCGCGUGCAGGAUGAAGGCCUUCGGUUGUAAACUGCUUUGUACGGAACGAAAGGUACCUUCUAAUAAAGAGGGCUCAUGACGGUACCGUAAGAAUAAGCACCGGCUAACUACGUGCCAGCCGCCGCGGUAACACC
rnacentral:rRNA from 1 species